rnacentral:rRNA from 1 species
UACGUAGGGGGCAAGCGUUGUCCGGAAUCAUUGGGCGUAAAGAGCGUGUAGGCGGCCCGGUAAGUCCGCUGUGAAAGUCGGGGGCUCAACCCUCGAAUGCCGGUGGAUACUGUCGGGCUAGAGUGCGGAAGAGGCGAGUGGAAUUCCUGGGUGUAGCGGUGAAAUGCGCAGAUAUCAGGAGGAACACCGAUUGCGAAGGCAGCUCGCUGGGACGUCACUGACGCUGGAGACGCGAAAGCGUGGGGAGCAAACAGG